UUAAGAAAUAGCCGAUCGUGUCUGGUUGGCUCAUCGGCGACCAAAUUUCGAAGUCCGCUAGAUCGCUGCAGCUCGCCCUUGCUUCGACGGCUGUAUGUCCGUCGACUCGUCAGCCAGGCCCGUCGUCGUCAUCCGAAGAGCGGUGUGUCUUGAAAGGACGGGGCUCAACCUGGACGCCAAAGACUGCUAAGCGAAGUGGUGAGACAGCUCCAAGACCACAUCGGCAAAAAAGCCGAAGGGCCUGCUUAUGGCUUUAGGAUCAGCGAGUAUGCCACUUGGAUGACUGCAACAUUUUAAUAAUGCUGGUUCCCAAGGGUGUCCAGGUAAUGAGUUGAAUAUGUAUGACCCCUCAAGAAAAACAAAAGUGACGUGCUGAGAGCCUACUGGCAGUGUCAAACGCAACACAGUAUGUGACUGAAGUGCCCUGGCGGGCUACUGCUCCACAACCAUUUGGUGACAUCGACUUGGCGUGGAACAGCAUCCGUCUUAUUCUGGGGUGUCUUGGCAAGUGUUGCACCUGCGCAUCUCCUUCAAAAUGUUGCGGGGGACAAACAGGCACGCUUAUACUCCACUGGGCCCGUUCCAGAGGAUGUAGUGAGAGAGAUGACUGGCCGCAACUCGCCUCGCCUGUGGAGUGCUCUACCUGCGGUUCCUUGCAUUGCCGGACCAUUGUGAGCGACUUACGAUGGGUCGAGAACAUGGAGUUACACGAGAUCAGCGGAACUGUCCUUGGCUUCCUGUUGCGCAUUCCACUAGUUGUAGUUUUAUUUCAGCUCUGCAGAACAUUCCACCACUAUGGCUUAUUGUUGUUUGUUUCCCUCUGUUGUUUGACUUGGGUGAAAAUAAACACCUUUAGUUAA
rnacentral:lncRNA from 1 species